rnacentral:sRNA from 12 species
UCUGUGGAGAGUCGUAACAAACUAGAGUAGUAGAAAUACAAAAUAGGACUUAUUGAAGCAGAAA